UACAGAGGGUGCAAGCGUUGUUCGGAAUUACUGGGCGUAAAGGGCUCGUAGGCGGCCUGCUAAGUCGAACGUGAAAUCCCCGGGCUCAACCCGGGAACUGCGUCCGAUACUGGCAGGCUUGAAUCCGGGAGAGGGAUGUGGAAUUCCAGGUGUAGCGGUGAAAUGCGUAGAUAUCUGGAGGAACACCGGUGGCGAAGGCGGCAUCCUGGACCGGUAUUGACGCUGAUGCGCGAAAGCCAGGGGAGCAAACGGG
rnacentral:rRNA from 1 species